UGGGAUUAAAAGAGUGAGCCACCAAGCCUG
rnacentral:piRNA from 1 species